AUCGGGGCCUGUGAUGGAGUUAGUCUGUGUCUGAGGCAGCCCCGGGGAGAGCGUGACGGUGCGUGUGUGGCACCGCGUGUGCCCGUGUGAGCGCGUGUGGCCGUCAGCAUUCUAUCUGGGGAGAACUGUGUCACAGGCGAAGCCACAGCGCUGCUGUCCUGGGCGGUCCCCGCGGUGCUGUCCCGGGCCGUGGGAGGCAGCGUGUGCCGUUCUUGCGGUGACGCACCCGCUUGUGGUAGAAGCGCGUGGCCGUCUGCAGCCGGGUCUCGUGUUCCCCCCGGGUCCCGGCCCUACCCGCGUGUGUGGGCGGCAGGGCUCCCGCAGUGUCCCCCACCCGGGCUGCAGCGGUGACUCAGGGGCUGGUUUGUCCUCGAGGACCGAGGUGAGCAGGACAGGCGCCUUUCAGAGGACUUUGCGUGGCAGAUGCGGGAACGCAGACUCGGUUCCCGGGGUCUCAGCUGCCCCACCGUUUCUGCCCUGGCCAGAGGGUACCGGGAAGUCGCCCCCACCCGUCGCUGGGUGGGGCGGCCGCUUCCUGAGAGCACAGGAAGGCAGGGAGGGGCUUGGUCCUGGGGCACCCAGGGACACACCCAGAAAUCACCCCUUACUCUCCCAGCCCCUCGCACUGCCGCUGUGGGGCUGUCCCCUGCCCUGUGCUGCGGGCCAAAUGCGUGAAGUGCAGGCUUGCUUGGAGUGCCUCCCUGCGCAGGCUUCCGGGUUCGGGGAGGACCAGGCCCUCGUGCCCUGCACCAACUACAUCGUCCAGCACGGCCGCACGGCAGGGUGCCUCCUGCAGGGCCGGGACGACGUCCUGAACCUCACCAUCCGCGACGGGCCCCGCCCCGUGCUCUCCAUGCGGCGCUGGGUGGCUGAAUACCUGAAGCCCAGCUCCCCGAGAGACCUGCAGUUCCUGUGGGGACAGGAGGCCGUGACCGUGCUGUGCUCCCCGCUGCCCCACCCGGGGCUGCUCUACGAGGUGCAGCACACGACCCCCCACGACACCCAGUGGCAGUCCCAGGUGUCAGAGGUGUGCAACAUAACCAUCAGGGGCGUGGACGUAGAGCAGUGCCACCUCUUCCGGGCCAGGGUGAAGACCAAGGAUUCCUACUACGGCCCCAAAGCCUCCCCGAGCGACUGGUCUCAGGUCACGCACUGGCGGGGAGCCACAACUGAAGAUUCCUGUGUGCAGCCGCUUGUGGGCCUCUGGCCCAGGUGGACGCGGUUCUUCCUGGUCUGCAGCCUGGUGUCGCUGCUGACGGUGGCCCUGCUGCUGGUCGCCCUGUGGAAAGCACAGAGGUGAGAACCCUGCAGGCGGGCGGCCUUGAAACUCCCCCAUGCCAGGUUGGCAACAAGAGUGCGGACAACAGUCACCGUCCCGCUGUCAUUUCCCCGCCUGGCACAGAGUCACGGCGAACCCCGGUUUGCUGAGGGCUCAGGCCAGGAAUUUGGGCACAGGGCGGAACAAGCGUGGUUUUCUUUAGGUGUCACUGUUAUGAGUUCAUACUUGCGGGAUCUGAUGACCCAUUCCUCCUGGGGGGUCGGGGCUCACACAGAACACAGCCUCGUUCCGUGUCCACCCCUCCCCUCGCCCUCAUAUCUGGUCACCCUACUUCCUGUCCUGUAUCUUUUGUCUUGUGCUGUAUUUAUUUGGGCUUGUCAUAGAACAGAAACCACCCAAUACUGGAGCUCGUGGGUCUGAUUUAUUGCACACAACAGCACGAUCUCCAGGUGCACCCAUUUUCCUACCUGUGACUAAAGCCUAUCCUUCUUCCUGGCUGCAUAAUAGUCCACUGUGUAUAAACACCACGUUUAUUUUACCAUUCCUCUCCUGAUGAACAUACAGUCUGAUUCCCAGAUUCAGUUGCUUUCUCAAUAGAUGGAGACAAAACCUUUGAGGAAGCCCACAGUCCCCUCGGGACACAAAGCCCAAAGACUUAGGGUGAUCCGUGUGUCACCUUCUGUCCACAGCUUUGAAUAUAGUUGUGUGUCGUACCACAAAGUGUCGCUCAAGAACCAUCCCCAUACACAACCUGAUGGGGUUAUACUGCAGCUGGGCAACUCUAGCUGCCCCUUGAGUCUGUAGGGUUCCUAAUUCCACACGGACUCCACACGCGUGUGCGGAACCCCGCGGUAAGUGACCGCAGCUAUGUGAAAGCACACAGACAAGUGUACGGCGUGCUCCGCGCUAAUCCUUGGUGGUGCUGCGGUUGGUGUAUGUUGCUGCACUAUGCACUUCGUGUUUCUCUGUUUCAUUUGCGUGCGGGCAGCGGAAGCAGAGCCUCGCCUGCUAGGCCUCCCUGUGCCAGACCCCUGCAUUCCUUGUGUGAAAAUUACAUCUCACUGAUCCUCCAUCCUCCUGCCUCAGCCUCCAAGUAGCUGGGACUACAGAGCGCAGCUCAGGGCAUAGGCCCUUGACGGUGUCUGUAGAGAUAGAGAAUGAACUCGUACAAGGUCUCAGAGUGCGGCCCUGCAGUAAGAGACUGGUAUGCCGGGUGUGGUGGUGCAUGCCUGUCAUGCCAGCAGCUCAGGAGGCUGAGGCAGGAAGAUUGCUUCAGGCUCAAGGCCAGUGUGGGCCACAUAGCAAGACCCUGUCUGGAAAUACAAAUAACAAAUAAAAGGUAUCUAACUCUAUACCCUUGACGGAAAUAAAGUAGCAGAAUAAAAUACAUCUAAGCUUAUGCAUUUCAUUACAAAUUAAAGGUUACAAUGUACCCAAGCCCAUGUGAUACAAUGUAUCCAGGCCUGCGGAUUAGGGUGGAAGCAAAUGCAGAAUAAAUCAGGUUUACCCGCUCCCCCCUCCCGGAAUGAAACUGCCCUCCCCCCUUGGGUGGAGAGCAUAGGAAUGGAUAAUCCACCAUGUUCCUUAGCUGGGGCCGCCGUAAGCAUUUUGCGGCCCUGGGGGUCAAAGCCAGGGCCUUGGCAUGGACCCACCACCCUGGCCCUUUUUCAUUUAUACUUGAGCCAGGGUUCCGCUAAGUCUCUACAUAGCCCAGGCGGGAGUUACGCUGGAGAUCCUCCUGCCUCAGCCUCCCGAGUGUGGGGAUGACAGGCGUGGGCCCGGCGUGCGUGGCUCUCUCACUGUGUUCAUUUCAGGGUGAAGAGGCUGCUGAUGCCCAGCGUGCCGGACCCCAGGGGCAGCUUCUCCGGGCUCUUCGAGCACCACCAGGGCAACCUCCAGGUGCCCACCUCGCCAUGCCCCUCUCCUCUGAGCCCCGCGCCCCCCGCCCCGCAUCCUCCACCCACUUCCUCUCCACAGACCUGUGCACAAAUCGGUCCCAUCCAUGGGCUCUGGGCUUUUGGACACAGUUUCGUUUUUAUUGGGGGGGGAGGGGACAGCGGGGGGAGGGGAGAGGCCGGGGUGAGCUCAGCGGGUGCCGGGUUUGCAAAGAGAAAUACUGGCCCGAGUUCAUCCGGGAGGGACGGAGGCUUCCCGCUCUUUGGAUUCUUAGCUUCAUCCCAAGAGUAGGCUGGCCAGCGGGUGUGGUUGUGCACACCUGUCAUCCCAGCACUUGGGAGGCUGAGGCAGGAGGAUCGCUGUGAGUUUGAGACCAGCCUGGGCUACAAAGUGAGCUCAAGGCCAGCCUGAACUGCAUAGCGAGACCCUGUCUCAAAAAGCCAAAAGAAAACCCAAACAGGUGGGUGAGUCAAAGUGGUGGUGUGGAGGAGCUGGCUUCCUGUCCUCCCUAGGCUCCCAUAAGGGACGGUCACCACGCAGACCCUGCGCACCCCAGCCGGGGGCGCUGACCCGGGUGUCCCCGCAGGAGUGGAUCGCCGACACCCAGGACGUGGCCCCGUGGAGGAAGCCGCCCGGCGGGGAGCAGGAGCAGCCGUCUGAGCAGACCCUGGAGGUCCAGCUGUCCAGGGUAGACACAGAGCUGCCGGCCGCCCCACCCACGCGGGAGGAAGAGGCCCCCGCGGGGUCCCCGAGGCUCCCUCCCCGGGACCCCCAGGCCGGCAACCUGGUGUCCCUCGGCGGCUUCACCUUUGUCAUGACUGACAGCGCCUACAUGAAGUUGUGAGCCGGCCCCGCGGCCAGCACGGGACGCCUCACCGGCAGCCAGGAACGGCGGGAAUAUUGCCACGCUCCCGGGACACGACCCUUCUCGGUCUUCAUUUCAAAACGGGAUGUGACUACUUCUCCCCCGGCCUUGGACUUGCGAUCCUCCUGCCUCAGCCUCCCGAGUGGCUGGGGCUACAGAUGUGCGUCACAUCUGUUUUGAACUUUGUCCCCACCUCUACCUGUGGUUGCACAGGGUGUGACCUGGGCAGAAUUCUAAAGGGAUGUGUCCGUCCUGAAUUAUUUUACUUUAUGUUUUUUUGAGACAAGGUCUCACUCUGUAGCCCAGGCUGGCCUUGAACUCACGGCGAUCCUCCUGCCUCAGCCUCCCGAGUGCUGUGAUGACAGGCGUGUCCACUGCAGCCGUCCCAUCCCGACUUCUGAACCGUGCAGCACGACCUUGCUGACCCGAGGGGGUUGCUGCCGGGAGUCUGGGGAGGGGAGGAGGGGGCAGCCUGGUCUGCAGAUUCGUACAAAGCGGUGGCCGGGGCUGGGGCCGCUUCUGGGAACGGGAGGGGAUGGUGCAGACGGCACAGGCGGAGCCGGGGCUGGUGGAGGGGAUUCGAUUUGCACGCGGGUGUGGGCGGCCGUGUCGGGAGCUCCCUGCCCCCCCCCCAGGGUUCACAGCACACACCGGGUGCAAGGAGAACGUUGGACCGCACACCGGAGCAGAGUCAGAACGCGAAUCCACUGUGUCCCGGGCAAAGCGGGGGACUCACGACUCUGACCCCAAACUCACUGGGCCCGGAUCCUUCCCUAGCUCUUUUGUAUUUUGUAUUUUGUAUUUUUUUAAAUUUAAUUUUUUCUUUUUUUGAGACAGGGUCUCCCUAUGCGGUUCAGGCUGGCCUUGAGCUCACUUUGUAGCCCAGGCUGGUUUCGAACUUGCAACGAUCCUCCUGCCUCAGCCUCCUGAGUGCUGGUAUUACAGGCUUGCACCACCAUGCCCGGCUUGUUCAUAUUAAUUCUGGGUUUUGAGACAGGGUCUUGCUAUGUCCAUCAACUUCCCAGGCUGAGCUCCAACUUGGGACCCUCCUGCCUCAGCCUCCCGAGGAGCUGGGUGGCCAGCGCACGCCCCCACACACAGCCUCCACACUCCGCAGAAGGCAAAGGCGGGUUUCUCCCCGGGACGGAAACCACGGCUCAAACUCUGCCCUCGAGCGCCCCUGCCUUCUCACUAACCAACCGGGGCACUGGGGCUUGAACCUGGGGUGUCAGCACCAAGCGCCGUCCCCGACCCUUUUUUAUGUUUAAUUUUGAGGCAGGGUCUCGCUAAGUCACGCAGGUGCCCAGGCUGGGCUGGACCUGGGGAUCCCCCUGCCUCAGCCUCCCGGGGUGGUGAGAUUAUAGGUCUGCACCAACCGUAUCUUGGGGUCUGAAGGCUGGAACUGGGGAUCCCUCUGUGCAGACCCCGGGGGGCUUGCUGAGCGGCACACAGGGGCCCCGAGCCAGACACACAUCUGGUUGUGCAACACCAACGGCCUCCCGGGUCUGACGUCCUGCGGUUUCCUGUCUGCCUCCGCCGAGCGCCCGGCAACAAAGCCCCAUUGUGCGCUCGGCACCACCGCCCCGGGCAUGUGCGGAGAGGAACUGAGAGCCUCCUCGGCCUUCUGCGCUGCUCUGGGACUCCAGGCGGCCUGAGUGUGAGGCCCCACCCCUCGGGAGGCUGAGGCGGGGGCAUCUCUGAGAGUUGGAGUUGCCCUGGACAGCUGGCCCACCUAGCGAGACCUUGUCUCAAAAUAAAACACGAAAAACGCUUCUCUGAACGGGAAAGACUCACGGCUUGGGGCCAAAUCCGGGCAUCGCACCCCAAAAUUGUCUUUGCAUGACCUGUGGAGAUCAGGCAUUUUAGGAAAACUGAGGCAAGGAAGAAAUCCACCGCUGGGAUUUCUGUGCCGGCUCCUCCCUGGCAUCCCCACACCCCCACUCUUACCCCAA
rnacentral:lncRNA from 1 species